AAAAACGGCCAGGGUUUUCUGUUAGGUACCAGAACAUCCCUAUUAUUUAGAAUAAUUUAUACUUUUGCAAACAGUAAAUUUUAUAAAUUGACUAUAUAAAAGAUAUACAUGAUAAAACUGAAGUAUAAACUAAUUACAGGAAACAACCGAAAUACAUUACAUAACCCGACAAAAUGUAACACAAAAAAUAGACGCAUCCGAAUAAGUUAAAACCUCAACGCCAAGUGACGUCAUAUUUGAAAC
rnacentral:lncRNA from 1 species